rnacentral:sRNA from 1 species
GUUUUUUGAAAUUUUAAGUUAUAUUUGUUUUGUUAGUAUUUUUUUUUAGUGUUUAAAAUUGUAUAAUUGUAUUUUGAUUAUUAAUUCUAGGAUUUCAUACAUAGUAUACCAUUCCGUAUUAAUAUCGAUCCAAACCCGUCCCACCAUAUAACUCCAUCACGUGAUUAAACAUCAUUUUGUCAUUUUA